rnacentral:snRNA from 1 species
UCGAUAACCCCGCUGAUCUGAGCCUU